AAUGCAAUUUCUGGAUCAUAUGAUAAAACUGUAUAGCUCUGUAAGCAGCUGUCAGACUGUCUUCCAAAGUUAGUGCAUCCAUUUGCAUUCCCACCAGCAAU
rnacentral:pre_miRNA from 1 species